GAAACAGUUUUAAUUUUUCGUUGCAUAAGCAAAACAUCCCCAUAAAACAUUCACUUUUCAAAAAUCUUUAUAUACAAGUAACUGUGGAAGGUGGAGGAAAUAACUAAAAACACCGCCACUACCAACACAACAGCUCCUAACAGUAGGCCAGGUCAGGGUGCAGAAUUCAUGAAAACAAGCUGCUCACAUUCCCAGAACCACAACCCCCAGUGAGGAAUCUUGUCCUCUUUAACUUGCUGGGUGGCAGAGCCCGGAGGAAUUACUCAAACUAUGAAAAUCCCAAAGCAUGGUCACCUAGGGGGAAGUGAGGAGACAGAUAUGACUUGAGCAUGACAAUUAUUUUCUUAUAAUAACAGUAAAGAAAACAACCUUAAGUGGUAAAGGCUCUUUGAGCUCCAACUUAAACAAGUAGCUAAUGGUAUUUACCAAACCUAGCAUUUGUUAGCUAAGGCAGAACAUACACUGUACAUGUGCCUUUUUUCUUUCAAACAAUAUUCUUUAAUGCACUCACAUUUAUUGAUUAUAGAUACAUGCAAGUGGUAUAUAAAUAAUAAAACAUAGCAAACACCAGACAUACUGUUCUAGGUACCUUCAUGUAGUUUAUUUCACUUAAUUCUCACAAUAACCCUAUGAGGUUAUGAGAUCCAUUAUUAUUCAUGAUUUACAAAAGAAAAAAAAAAAGCUAAGUCAUAGGGAAGUUUAAUUAUUUGACCAAAAUCAUACAACUAGAAUGCAAAACUAGGUACUUUGUCUCCAGAGCUCUUGCUUUUAAUUUAGCUCUAGUUCUCUCGUGAAAUUGGAUUUUUAACCCCAUUAUCACAGAACUAUUCUUCCAAGACUGUAAAUUCUACUUCUCUGGGAACUUCCACCUCUUUGACUCACUUUUACCUUUGCCUCCCAAUUCCUUCUGGUUUCACCUGUUUUCCUGUACAACCUGGACCCCCUAGUCAUUUCAACUAUGCCCAAACUCCUUCCCAGGCCUCUCCUACACAGUCAAACCAAGGUGGUCACCUGUACCUGCCACCUUCGUCCCACCUCUGCACCCAGCAGUGAAGUACCACUGCUGAUGCAAUGAAGAGUUGUGCUGCCUCUUGGUCAGUGGGCCUUCCCUGCUGCUUGGCAGUCCUCUCUUGGGCAGUGCACAGCAUCCACUGCAGCUGUUCCAAACUUCUUCCAGGAUUAAAUCCCCCAAAGCACCUCGCUAGUCCUUUGUAGGUUAUCUUACCAUGGCUUUAUUUAAAAGUCAACCAAAAUAGGGCUGUCAGAUUAAGACACAGGAUGCCUGGUAACAUCUGAAUUUCAAAUAAAAAGGAAUCAUAUUUUGGGAUAAGUAUGUCCAAAAUAUUGUAUGAUAGAAAUAUUUAAAUAGUAUUUAAACUAAUAAAAAUAGCCAACUAUGUACUGAGAGCCUACCAAAGAUUGUAUGCAGGUACUUAAUACUAAAAACUUAUUCAUUGUUUAUCUGAAGUUUAAAAAAUUACUGGACAUCCUGUAUUUUAAUUUGCUAAAUAUAAUUCAGUCAAAUGCCCCUUCUUUCCAUUCCCAGAAGUACUGUUCCUUUUUUCAAAAGUUAAUUCUCUGACCUAUGGUAGUGAUCUUUCUUCUUCAUUUUCUUCUUCAUCCUACAAAUUCUUUAUACUUUUCAAGCAUGCUCCAGUCAUCCCUACCAUGGUAUUAAUGGUUCCACUUCUUCACCCCUUCAUGUCACUUUGUCAUUUCUCUAAAGAGGUGAAUUCUGUUUCCCUACCCCUUGAAUUUUACUUGGUCACAUAACCUGCUCUGGCCAACAGAAUGAGACAGAAGUGCCAGUGUGUCAGUUUGGAGUCUCGGCCUCAAGAAGCCUUAUAUGUUUCUGCUUACUACUUAAAACUCUUCUUCAGGACAAGAGAAACAAAACAAAACCAUCUGUAAAAAACAAAAACAGUAAUUUGAAAAGAUACAUUCACCCCAAUGUUCACAGUAGCACUAUUUACAAUAGCCGAGAUAUGGAAGUAACCUAAAUGUCCAUCAACAGAUGAAUGGACAAAGAGGGUGUGAAAUAUAUGCAUAUACAAUUACAAUAUAUAUAUACCAUUGUAUAUAUAUUUAUAUACACACAUAUAUAGAAUAUUACUCAGCCAUAAAAAAUGAAAUUUUCCCAUCUAUAGCAACAUGGAUGAACUUUAGCAUUACACUAAAUGAAAUAAGUCAGAGAAAGCACUUAUAUGUAGAAUCUAAAAAAAUCCAACAAACUGGUAAAUAGAGUAAAAAAAUAGAAGCAGACUCACACAUAUGGAGAACAAAUUAGUGGUUACCAGCGGGGACAAGGACAAGAGAGGGGUAAUAUAAGCAUAAGGACGUUAAAAGGUACAAACUAUUAUGUAUAAAAUAAGCAAUAAGAAUAUAUCAUACAACACAGGGAAUAUAAACAAUAAUUUAUAAUAAUUAUAAAUGGAGUAUGGCCUUUAAAUAUGUGAAUCACUAUACUGUUCACUUGUAAUGUAUAUUAUACUUCAAUUUUAAAAAAUGCUGCAAUGGAGUUCCUGUUGUGGCUCAGUGGUUAGCGAAUCUGACUGGAAUCCAUGAGGACAUGGGUUUGAUCCCUGGCCUUGCUCAGUGGGUUCGUUAACUGAUGAGCCACGACAGGAACUCCAUCAUUAUUCUGUUCUUAAUGGGUAAGUGUAUUUUAUGAAAGAGAGAAGCUGCCUCUAAAUUAUAAAUAACAGCUUGCAGUUACUGAGUGCUUAAUCAGUUCUGAGAUCUAACUCACUUAAAUUCUCUAAUUCAAUGCUCACAACAACACUGUGAGGUAGGAACUAGUUAUCAUCUAUAUGUAACAGAUGGGAAAACUGAGGGACAGAAAGUAAUUUGCCCAAAGUCACAGAGCUGGUAAUUAGGGAAACUGAGCCAUAGAGACUAAACUCUUAACCAGCAUGCUAUGCUGCUAUUCGAGAAAUGAACUAUACAUACAAACAUGCCCAUCACUGUUUCCUAUCCACACAGCACUGCUUUCCCUGCUACUUUAGGGAGAGAAAAGGCUGUGUUUUUAGAAAUUUGUAGGAUCAGAAAUGAUGGAAAGAGGAAGCUGGGAAAGCAAGAAUGAAAUGACUCAAAUGAGCUGGGCCUAACACCCUUGGCCCUGACUUAGAACAACUAGAGACUACUUAGAUUUACAAAGCCCUCUAAAAAGGGUAACUGUCCCUAGGAGUAAUUUCCCUUCAGUUAUCACUUCAUUCCAUAAUAUCUGAGACAUGCUCUUUUUGACUGAUCAAAUAUUAAUUUUAAAAGUAUUAGAAAUAUACCUUUUUGGAUGAGCUAGACACAAAACUACAAAGUAAAACAGGAAAGUAAGCACAAAAGCCAAGUUAGAGAGUCAGAGAGAGGGUAAUUAUAAUUGAAAUGAUUCAGUCUGGAAAUCCUGUUGUGGCUCAGCCAAAACGAAUCUGACUAGCAUCCAUGAGGACACGGGUUCGAUCCCUGGCCUUGCUCAGUAGGUUAAGGAUCUGGUAUUGCCAUGAGCUGUGGUGUAGGUCGCAGAUGAGGCUUGGAUCCUGAGUUGCUAUGGCUGUGGUAUAGACCAGCAGCUACAGCUCUGACUCAACCCCUAGCCUGGGAACCUUCAUAUGCCUCGGGUGCGGCCCUAAAAAGAUAAAAAAAAAAGAAAUGAUUCAGCCUAAUACUAAUUUUGGGUGUAUAAAGAAUUUAUAACAUAUAAUACAUCUUUGGCAUAUGGAGCAUGAGGUUUAGAUGGUAGAGACUAAUACAUUACAAGGAUAAACUUCCCUUCCGCACAGUACAGACAGAGAGUAAUCUACCCGAAGUUGGUGGUCCUGAAUUUACACUGUUAAAUGCCAAUCUGCACGGCACUUAUUUUUUCUAUCUGGGCACAAUGAGCAAUCUGGGAGCAGACAUCCAGUUAGAUCUUGUACUUCACCAGGUGAGUGAUAGCAGGGCAACAGGGCAAAAGGAGAUGUGGUUCCUGGUAAGAAAGUGGUAAUUUAAAAUAGAAUGUGGCUUGGAUAUGGCAUUGCUGUGGCUAUGGCAUAGGCCGUCAGCUGCAGCUCCAAUUCAGCCCCUAGCCUGGGAAUUCCCCUGUGCUGCAGGUUUGUGGUCCUAAAUUAAAUAAAUAAAUAAAAAUAGAAUAGAAUGCAGUGGAGAUGAAAGAAGUAAAGGCAGGAGCAGGCAGAUGGGAGAAAAAAGAGAAGUCUAUGGACUGGAGGUCUCAAGCCAGAGAAACCUGAGAAGGGUGAGAGGCUGAAGCAGAGGAGGGAAGAGCACUGGAAAUAAGAUGUCAGGGAACUGAGAAUGG
rnacentral:lncRNA from 1 species